GUGCCGUCCCAGUGGGAAUUAGAUUUCAACAUGUGGAUUUGGGGGUACACAGUCAGACCAUAGCAACCUUCUACUGAUCGGAAUUGUCUCCGUUUUUGUCAUCCCUAGUGCAGUAUGGCCUCGUGUAGAAGAGGGACUCGAUACUUGCUUGCUGGACAAAUGAGUGUUUUUGCUUUGGUCAAUGGAAUGAGGAGGAGGUGACAAUGUGCUGGCCCCAGUCAUGGACACAGAGACCAAGUGUGAUCAAAGAAUAGGGUGAUUAAAAACAAUGCUGCUGCCAAGUCCAGUCUAAUAGAAACGCAGAUUCCUAAAAAGGUGGUUUAUUUUUCUCCACUGGAUCUAGUACUAUGACUUCUGGCUCUUCCUCAAAGUCAAAAUAACCAUAAGGUAAAUAUUUUAAUUGAUUGAGGACAUAGAAGCAGACAUGGCACUCAUGAAAGAGGACUUCCAGAACUGCUUCAGAAAGUGGCAAGAGUGAGAGGGUAAGUGUGGUUGAAGCAACGGGGAGUAUUUUGAGGGGGAUUAAUAGCAAUGAAUCUUUUACUAUAAAGCAUUUAAAAGAUGUAAAUAUUCACUGUAUUUUUCAAUCAUAUUGCAUA